rnacentral:misc_RNA from 1 species
AAAAAACAUUCCGAUGAAUGACACUACGGCUGAUUCUACGGAAACAAUUUAUGAGGAGGGAGGAAAAAUCUACACUAAUUUGGUACCGCGACAACCACCAAAAAAAAGAUUGUACAGUGAAACAGUUAUCGAAGUAUAGGAGCAUUUAAGCUAAUUUUACCGAUGUCCCGAGAUAUAAGAACAUUAUUAAAGUUUGAAGGACAAUAAGAAAGAAAUAUCUAAAUAUGAAAAUUCUAACGAGAGACUUAAUCUUAAUGCAUUAACUUGUGUUCCGUUACAAAUAUUUUAAUAAUGGGCCAAUAUUCAAACUUUUUAAAUAUUCCAAAACCCAACUAACAGUCAAAUUUCAUAGCCGAAAUAGACAUAUUAAGGAUGGAAUAUUGAUAGAUAAUUCGAUAAGUAUUGAUCCUUUGCUCAUAGCUGAGAACAAGUUAAAGGUAGACAAUAAACACGAAUAGUGAUGAAAAAAACGAUAUGAUACAUUUCUCUAUAACUUUUUCAGACCAUUUAGUGAACUGCAUGAUUACGAAUGUAAAAUAUACCUAAUGAAUUUUUCGACAAUUUCCCAGAUUACCAGAUGUGCCUCCACACAUAGACAAAUGUUCGAAUAAAAUAUGUUUAGAAAAAUAUCCGAAAGAUUUGAACGAUCGAAUCUGUAACUCAUGCUUUGGAGAUAAUUCAAGGUAAAAUAGUCAGUUAACAUUCCAUCAACAUUUGCUCCAGUAGUGCGAUUUACAUAAAACCUCAUACAUUAUUCAUGCUCAUUUCCAAUUGUUUAUUUUCAGACAAGUUAUUGACAACAUACACACCAAGUAUAACGCGGUUAUUG